rnacentral:rRNA from 1 species
AGAGUUUGAUCCUGGCUCAGGACAAACGCUGGCGGCGUGCUUAACACAUGCAAGUCGAACGGACACCCUUCGGGGUGUUAGUGGCGGACGGGUGAGUAACACGUAGUUGACCUGCCCUAUAGUGGGGAACAACCCUUCGAAAGAAGGGCUAAUACCGCAUAAGUUCUCUAUCGCCGGAUAGAGAAGAAACCUCUUACGCAAGUAGGGGGGCUAGAGGAGGGGACUGCGGCGGAUUAGCUAGUAGGUAGGGUAAUGGCCUACCUAGGCGACGAUCCGUAGCUGGUCUGAGAGGACGGCCAGCCACACUGGGACUGAGACACGGCCCAGACUCCUACGGGAGGCAGCAGUGAGGAAUAUUCCACAAUGGGCGAAAGCCUGAUGGAGCGACGCCGCGUGAGGGACGAAGCCCUUUGGGGUGUAAACCUCUUUUUAGGGGGAUGAAACGUCACCUUCGGGUGACUAAGACAGUACCCCUAGAAUAAGCCUCGGCUAACUACGUGCCAGCAGCCGCGGUAAUACGUAGGAGGCAAGCGUUGUCCGGAUUUACUGGGCGUAAAGCGCGCGCAGGCGGCACCUCAAGUACUUACUGAAAUCUCUCGGCUAAACCGGGAGGGUGGUGGGUAGACUGAGGAGCUAGAGAGCGGUAGAGGGGUGUGGAAUUGCUGGUGUAGCGGUGAAAUGCGUAGAGAUCAGCAGGAACACCCGUGGCGAAGGCGGCACCCUGGGCCGCAUCUGACGCUGAGGCGCGAAGGCUAGGGGAGCGAACGGGAUUAGAUACCCCAGUAGUCC